GUUAGGAAUAUUGGACAAUGGGCGCAAGCCUGAUCCAGCCAUGCCGCGUGAGUGAUGAAGGCCUUCGGGUUGUAAAGCUCUUUAGCCGAUGAUUAUAAUGACUGUAGUCGGAAAAUAAGCCCCGGCUAACUUCGUGCCAGCAGCCGCGGUAAUACGAAGGGGGCGAGCGUUAUUCGGAAUCACUGGGCGUAAAGCGUGCGUAGGCGGCUUUGCAAGUUGGGAGUGAAAGCCCAGGGCUCAACCCUGGAAUUGCUCUCAAAACUGCAAGGCUCGAAUUCAGGAGAGGAUAGCGGAAUUGUCAGUGUAGCAGUGAAAUGCGUAGAUAUUGACAGGAACACCAGUGGCGUAAGCGGCUAUCUGGACCGAUAUUGACGCUGAGGCACGAAAGCGUGGGGAUCAAACAGGAUUAGAUACCCGAGUAGUCC
rnacentral:rRNA from 1 species